rnacentral:rRNA from 1 species
UGGGGAAUUUUGGACAAUGGGCGCAAGCCUGAUCCAGCCAUGCCGCGUGAGUGACGAAGGCCUUAGGGUUGUAAAGCUCUUUUGGCGGGGAAGAUAAUGACGGUACCCGCAGAAUAAGCUCCGGCUAACUUCGUGCCAGCAGCCGCGGUAAUACGAAGGGAGCUAGCGUUGUUCGGAAUCACUGGGCGUAAAGCGCACGUAGGUGGGCAGUUAAGUCAGGGGUGAAAGCCCGAGGCUCAACCUCGGAAUUGCCUCUGAUACUGGCUGUCUAGAGUCCGAGAGAGGUGGGUGGAAUUCCUAGUGUAGAGGUGAAAUUCGUAGAUAUUAGGAAGAACACCGGUGGCGAAGGCGGCCCACUGGCUCGGUACUGACACUGAGGUGCGAAAGCGUGGGGAGCAAACAGGAUUAGAUACCCUUGUAGUCCCUGAGCGGGCUGGCAAGGCGCAU